rnacentral:tRNA from 1 species
AGGGGUAUAGCCCAGUGGUAGAGCAUAAGCUUAGCAUGCAGGAGGUCCUGGGUCCAAUCCUCAGUACCUCCG